CCUACGGGGGGCUGCAGUGGGGAAUUUUGCGCAAUGGGCGAAAGCCUGACGCAGCAACGCCGCGUGGGUGAUGAAGGUCUUCGGAUCGUAAAACCCUGUCGUUGGGGACGAAGGUGGGGGCGUUAAUAGCGUUUCUGCUUGACGGUACCCGGAGAGGAAGCCCCGGCUAACUCUGUGCCAGCAGCCGCGGUAAUACAGAGGGGGCAAGCGUUAUUCGGAAUUAUUGGGCGUGGAGGGCGCAGACACGGGUGUAAUCCCCGAGCUCAACUUGGGAACUGCAUCUGAGACUGGAAGGCUAGAGUACUGGAGAGGGUGGUGGAAUUCCUCGUGUAGCGGUGAAAUGCGUAGAGAUGAGGAGGAACACCAGUGGCGAAGGCGGCCACCUGGACAGUAACUGACGCUGAGGCGCGAAAGCUAGGGGAGCGAACGGGAUUAGAUACCCCGGUAGUC
rnacentral:rRNA from 1 species